GAAUGGUGUCUUGCUCCAUCGCCCAGGUCUAAGUUAAGUGGCAUAAUCAUAGCUCACUGAUGCCUCAAACUCCUGAGCUCAAGCAGUCCUUCCAUCUUAACCUCCCAAGUAGCUAAGAUUGCAGCCAUGUGCCACCACACUUAGCUAAUUUAAAAAAAAAUUACAGAGAUGGGGUCUUGUUAUGUUUUCCAGGCUGGUCUCUAAUUCCUAGCCUCAAGCAAUCCUCCCACCUCAACCUCCCAAAGUGCUGGGAUUACAGGCAUGAGCCACUGUGCUCGCCCUCCCCUUCCUGUUAAAUUAGCAAAUAUUGCCCAACAUAAAUUACAACCUGACUUCAAAGGAUCCAAACUUAUCCUAUAAGACCUAAUUACUUAGUGAAGGGGUGAUUAUCCUCACUGCUUCAACAUUUAGCAGUGCAGUUUGGCCUGUUCUUAAACCUGGAAAUAAUAAAUGAUGUUUCACAGUGAAUUGCAGCAACCUUAUUGCUGUCCUCCCGCCCAUUAAGGCCCCAUACCCAAUCCCUAACAGUAUUGAAAUUACUGACACCAUCUAUGAUGGUUAAUUUUAUUUGUCAACUUGAGUUGCCCAAGUAUUUGGUUAAACAUGAUUCCGGAUGUGUCUGUGAGGGUGUUUCUUGAUGAGAUUAACAUUUGAAAAGGUAGAUUAAAUAAAGCAGUCACCCUCCCUAAUGUGAGUGGGCUACAUCCAAUACACUGAAAACCCAAAUAGAACACAAAGGUGGAGGAAGAGAGAAUUCACUCCGUCUGAUGAUCUUUGAGCUGAGACAUAGAUCUUGUCAUGCUUCUGAAGUCUGACUUGGACUGUAAUGGAAGCCAUCAUCUCUCCUGGUUCUCAGGACUUUAGACUUUGACUGGAACUCCACUGUUGGAAGUCCUGGGUCUCUAGCUUGCUGACUGCAGAUCCUGGAACUUCUCAGCCUCCAUAGCCUCUGUAUUAGUCAUGGUUCUCCAGAGGGACAGAACUAAUAGGAUAGAUGUAUAUAUGAAGGGGAGUUUAUUAGGAGUAUUGACUCACGAACACAAGUUGAAGUCCCACAAUAGGCCAUCUGCAAGCUGAGGAGCCGAGAAGCCAGUCCAAAUCCUCAGAACUUCAAAAGUAGGGAAGCUGAUAAUUCAGUCUUCAGUCUGUGGCCAAAGGCUUGAGAGCCCCUGGAAAAUCACUGGUGCAGGUCCAAGAGUCCAAAAGCUGAAGAACUUGGAGUCUUAUGUUCGGGGGGCAGGAAGCAUCCAGCAUGGGAGAAAGAUGGAGGCCAGAAGACUCAGCAAGUCUGCUGUUUCCAUGCCUGCUUUUUAUGCUGGCAGCUGAUUAGAUGGUGCCCACCCAGAUUGAGGAGUCUCAGUCACAGCCUGCCUUCAUCUCUGAAGGGACCAGGCGACCCACGGAGUGCCUCGGCAGCCUUGUCAUUGCACACAAUCUUCACAGACAAGAUCUCACUGCAGCCACCUUUCUACAGGAGCACAGGAAGCACUGGCCUUGUUCAUCCUCAGGCUGUGGUGCUGGCACUGCCCUCCUUCAUCCUCAGGCUGUGGUGCUGGUACUGGCCUCCUUCAUCCUCAGGCUGUGGUGUUAGAAGUCAUCCCUCUCCCAAGCCCCUUAGGAUCGACUGAGUGACGAGCAGUGAAGUUCGUCCACCGUCUGAAUGGAUGCCAUCAUUGGAUGUGAUGGAGCCAGUGGAAUGCUGCUGCCUUCCCUCCCGUAGCUAGGAUGUCCCUGAUAAAGGAUGACAUCCAAGCCUCAGCAUGACCGGCCAAACUUGAGAUGGUCAUCUCAGCACUGAUGCAGGGCCAACAAUUAGCCCCAUUUGUACAUUUUUACAAACCUUUUGGCAAUUUCCAAGAAUUGUCCACCUCCCCUCCCCAUUGAACUAAAGAAACUUCUUGUCGCAUGGAUACUCAGAAUACCAAUCAAGGCAACAGAUGCUUUUAUUUUAACUAAGUACACAGUACGGAUCUCACAGGGACACUCCUUAUCCCCUGCAGAGUUCCAGACACUACUGAUGGUGACCAAGGCAACAUUUCAUCAGAAAACACAAUGCUGGGCUUGUGAAGAAGGUGUGCAGUAGAGCUUCCACUGCCCCUAUAGGCUGCAGGCAGCUGCUUUAGUUGAGAGACUGAGCUCCUCAAAGAAUUCCUAUUUAAGUUACGAAGCAGCGAGUGGAUGCCCUGCUGGGUUCCACUGUUGCCACGGGCUUUGAAUACUCUUAAGUUCAUGCUCCUUAGGAAAGUGCACUUUUUACACAAUGCUACACAGUUCCCUCAGUUGCCUUUACUGGUCAUCAAGGAGUUCACAUUUUUGACAACCAUUCAGUCCUGGGCUGUCCAAGGGGUGGAGGUAGCUCCGUACAGGAAGCUGCCUGCUGCAUGUGGAUCAGUAAUAUCAGACUUGCCCAAAAACUCACUGAAACCACUCAUGAAAACCAAUGCAUGGGGAAUGCGUGACAUCACCCAGAUAUUUACGAACACGCUUGUGCUGCCAGAGACCCCAGAUCUCUAAACCAAUGCAUGGGGAAUGCAUGACGUCACCCAGAUAUUUAUGAACACGCUUGUGCUGCCAGAACCAAUACAUGGAGAAUGCAUGACAUCACCCAAAUAUUUACAAACACGCUUGUGCUGUCAGAGGCCUCCUAUCUUGCCUUCUGCUAAACAAAUGGGGGCAGUAGCUUCGCAUCGGCUUCCACAUUUCAUUGCUCGUAACUGUGGCCUUCCUAAUUUCUCAUGCCCAAGCACUUAUUACAGUGUCUCUACAGCCUUUCCCAGCCUCUUAAAAUAUUAGUCAUCAUUAAAAUAAAUACCCAAUG